UUAGAGUUUGAAUCCUGGCUCAGAUUGAACGCUGGCGGCAGGCCUAACACAUGCAAGUCGAGCGGUAGAGAGAAGCUUGCUUCUCUUGAGAGCGGCGGUCGGGUGAGUAAUGCCUAGGAAUCUGCCUGGUAGUGGGGGAUAACGUUCGGAAACGGACGCUAAUACCGCAUACGUCCUACGGGAGAAAGCAGGGGACCUUCGGGCCUUGCGCUAUCAGAUGAGCCUAGGUCGGAUUAGCUAGUUGGUGAGGUAAUGGCUCACCAAGGCGACGAUCCGUAACUGGUCUGAGAGGAUGAUCAGUCACACUGGAACUGAGACACGGUCCAGACUCCUACGGGAGGCAGCAGUGGGGAAUAUUGGACAAUGGGCGAAAGCCUGAUCCAGCCAUGCCGCGUGUGUGAAGAAGGUCUUCGGAUUGUAAAGCACUUUAAGUUGGGAGGAAGGGCAGUUACCUAAUACGUGAUUGUUUUGACGUUACCGACAGAAUAAGCACCGGCUAACUCUGUGCCAGCAGCCGCGGUAAUACAGAGGGUGCAAGCGUUAAUCGGAAUUACUGGGCGUAAAGCGCGCGUAGGUGGUUAGUUAAGUUGGAUGUGAAAUCCCCGGGCUCAACCUGGGAACUGCAUUCAAAACUGACUGACUAGAGUAUGGUAGAGGGUGGUGGAAUUUCCUGUGUAGCGGUGAAAUGCGUAGAUAUAGGAAGGAACACCAGUGGCGAAGGCGACCACCCUGGACUGAUACUGACACUGAGGUGCGAAAGCGUGGGAGCAACCGGNUAACC
rnacentral:rRNA from 1 species